UUUUUUAGAGUAUAGCUGUGAUGAUCACAUGCUUCAUAAUCAACUGAGAGUGUGUUACAACAACCUAGAAGCUGAGAUUACAGUGCAAGAGAUUUUUUCUUUGUGAAUACCCCUCACCUAACAAAUGACAGGAUCCUAAGGAGGAGAGAGAAUGCUGAAGAUCAGCAAGAAUCCCAGCUGUUAUAGUGUUGUAUAAUCACCCUCAGUAAAUUUUUGACAUGGAAGCAGUUAGUCUUAUGAAGUACUAGCAAGUUUCUGAAUUGCUGUAGUAGUCCACUGCUAGUUACAAAUUUCUUGUCCUUUAGGCUGGUUGCAAGUCCCUCAUGUUAGGGUCUGCUGCUGCUGAGUCCUCCAAAGUUUUAGUUUGUCUCACAAUGUGUAAGGAUGUUGGCACCACAUUAAGGAGGUUAAUUCUAGUGUUAGUCAGUGUGGUAUCAGUUCAGGUUUCCAAGCAUCCUUCCACGUGUCUGCGGAAUGAUUCAGGUCAUGUUCUGUAGUAACAAUGAGAGGUCACUUUGAGACUUUCUGAAGAGGCUGACUAUCCCUUUGGAAUGGUCAGUCUUCCCAAAUUCCUCUCUCCUAUAUAUUGUACUAGGAGCUAGAGUUGCUUACUUGACAAGCAAGUUCAUGACCCUUGCUCCCCCAGCAGUAGAACUGAACUGGAAGUUACCUGGUGGCUAUCACAGCUUGGCAUUUCUCUCCAUAGCUUUGGCUUUAUCUGGUAUAAAUAUGCAGCUUACAGUGAGGGACAACUCUCUGUAAUCUCUGUUGCAAUAUAAUUAAUGUAGCACUGGAAGCCAUAACUGAAGUUGGAGCUGUUUUGCUAGUUAUUGUGCAAAGAUAUGAGGUCAUGUAGCAAAUUACUGUCAGACUUAAGCAUGAAUCCCAUAUCACUGCAGUGUUGGUUAACAUUCUGUGUGCUGCAACACUUAAGAGGUAGUUUAAGAAAAACACCAUAAAAGCUGGCUGGGAUGUUUUGUAGCAGUCAGUGAAGUGCACUCACAACUAUGUGAGUGCUUUGGACAUCUCUUCUUACAGCUACCUAGAUCCACACCUUCCUUUAUAGGAAGUAUUUGUUGGCUCACUGUAAUACCCAUAGAGUAUCACAGAAGCACAAUACUAUCCAUUACAUGAAGGCUUGCUUGCUUAAUCUGUCUCAAAGGGCUGAGUGUCCUGGGUACUAGCACUUAAAUUGUCAUACUCCAUUAGCCAUUGUAACAGCACCUGGCUAUCUCAGUGUGUUCUGCUGACUGUAAAUUGACAUUGGACAACAGCUUCAGGAUUGCUCUUUCAAAGCAUUGAAAUGUCUGUUUCAAAUAUUUGAUCACUCUAAUGCACCUGCUGAAGUGGAGAGUACGUGCCAAGUCCUUCUGUUGCAGGAUUCAAUAUUGUAUAAUGCCUUAUAUGGAAGAGACUUUAAAUAUUCUUGUUUCUGUUACUUGGAAGUGACGUGGAAAAACUGAAGUACAUUUGUGAAUGUUGAUAAUUUCAUGAGAAAUUUUGACUAAAUGUUAUGAAACUCAUGAAACUGAUACAGAUCACGUGCUUUUGUUCUGGCUUUUGAUUUCUCCAUGUACAUGAUUUUAAGUUAUUUGUCUUUUAUGGUAUUUCUAAAUGCUUAUGGGACUUUCAGGAUUGCAUAAGUUUAGGACAAAUCAUCCAGCAUAUUGCAAAACAGCAUUCAAAUCCCAAAUAAGGAAUCCUUCUAAAAUAACAGCAACUUUUUCUCCUUAAAGUAGACAAGCAAGCAAGCACCCUGUUGUUCCUCACCUGUUCCAGUGUCUAAUUUCAAAUCCCUAAAUGAGUUAAAUAGGUUUGGUCUAGACAUCUCUUUUGUGUAUUACAAAAUAAAAUAGGGAGGUGUUUUCUGUUUACCUUAAGCCUGUCUUAUGUGCCAUAGAAAGGCAACUAAAUCUACAAAGAUAGCUAGGUUUAGCUAUCUGAUCUCCCUCUUAUGUGAUCCACAGUGUUGAAUAGUAGGAGACCUGGAGAAUUCUCCAUGAACUGCAUGGUAACUGCCAGCAAUAACAAUCAGUAGCCUGGCAAAUCAUUUAAUUCAUUCUUAAGAUCUGAAUGCUUCCCCUAGAAGCACUCUAUUCAUUAAGCUGGACCACAGAAAUCAUUUUUACCAACUAGAAGGUUAUACUCAUUGAACAACAUCGGUAAGUAAUGCACUGAAGGACUGUUUCCAGCUUAGAGCAGGUUUUUGGUUUGAUUUGGUUUGUUUGUUGUUGGGUUUUGUUUGGUUUUUCUUCCUUUCUGAAUAACUGGUUUUUAUGUCUGGCUGACUUUACUUUCAGGUAACAGUGGUGUUAAAACAUAGAUGAAUAUGUUGAUAUGUCAUCUAAUUCUGAUAAUCUUUACCCAGUUACAUACUGUUAACUGUAAAUGCUUAAGUAACAUCAGUUCUGUAAAAAUAAGGAGUAUCUAUGCUUAUAUACCUGUAAUAAAAAUCUCUAUA